rnacentral:rRNA from 1 species
AGUCAAUAGAUACCCGGGUAGUCCACGCCGUAAACGAUGUCGACUUGGAGGUUGUGCCCUUGAGGCGUGGCUUCCGGAGCUAAACGCGUUAAGUCGACCGCCUGGGGAGUACGGCCGCAAGGUUAAAACUCAAAUGAAUUGACGGGGGCCCGCACAAGCGGUGGAGCAUGUGGUUUAAUUUGAUGCAACGCGAAGAACCUUACCUACUCUUGACAUCCAGAGAACUUAGCAGAGAUGCUUUGGUGCCUUCGGGAACUCUGAGACAGGUGCUGCAUGGCUGUCGUCAGCUCGUGUUGUGAAAUGUUGGGUUAAGUCCCGCAACGAGCGCAACCCUUAUCCUUGUUGCCAGCGGUUAGGCCGGGAACUCAAAGGAGACUGCCAGUGAUAAACUGGAGGAAGGUGGGGAUGACGUCAAGUCAUCAUGGCCCUUACGAGUAGGGCUACACACGUGCUACAAUGGCGCAUACAAAGAGAAGCGACCUCGCGAGAGCAAGCGGACCUCAUAAAGUGCGUCGUAGUCCGG